AUGUACAUGCAUACAACGCUAAUUCACUGGAUCCCGUUAGAACUUCAAAAUUAAGCAUGCUUGGGCUAGAUUAGUACUGGGAUGGAUGAUUUCACAAGAAGUCCUAGUGUUAGUGUUUU
rnacentral:rRNA from 1 species